rnacentral:rRNA from 1 species
GACGAACGCUGGCGGCGUGCCUAAUACAUGCAAGUAGAACGCUGAAGGAGGAGCUUGCUCUUCUGGAUGAGUUGCGAACGGGUGAGUAACGCGUAGGUAACCUGCCUGGUAGCGGGGGAUAACUAUUGGAAACGAUAGCUAAUACCGCAUAAGAGUAGAUGUUGCAUGACAUUUGCUUAAAAGGUGCAAUUGCAUCACUACCAGAUGGACCUGCGUUGUAUUAGCUAGUUGUUGGGGUAACGGCUCACCAAGGCGACGAUACAUAGCCGACCUGCGAGGGUGAUCGGCCACACUGGGACGGGGACACGGCCCAGACUCCUACGGGAGGCAGCAGUAGGGAAUCUUCGGCAAUGGACGGAAGUCUGACCGAGCAACGCCGCGUGAGUGAAGAAGGUUUUCGGAUCGUAAAGGUCUGUUGUAAGAGAAGAACGAGUGUGAGAGUGGAAAGUUCACACUGUGACGGUAUCUUACCAGAAAGGGACGGCUAACUACGUG